rnacentral:rRNA from 1 species
GGGUUGUGAGGUUAAGCGACUAAGCGUACACGGUGGAUGCCCUGGCAGUCAGAGGCGAUGAAGGACGUGCUAAUCUGCGAAAAGCGUCGGUAAGGUGAUAUGAACCGUUAUAACCGGCGAUGUCCGAAUGGGGAAACCCAGUGCAAUUCGUUGCACUAUCGUUAACUGAAUACAUAGGUUAACGAGGCGAACCGGGGGAACUGAAACAUCUAAGUACCCCGAGGAAAAGAAAUCAACCGAGAUUCCCCCAGUAGCGGCGAGCGAACGGGGAGCAGCCCAGAGUCUGAAUCAGCUUGUGUGUUAGUGGAACGGUCUGGAAAGUCCGACGGUACAGGGUGAUAGUCCCGUACACCAAAAUGCACAGGCUGUGAACUCGAAGAGUAGGGCGGGACACGUGGUAUCCUGUCUGAAUAUGGGGGGACCAUCCUCCAAGGCUAAAUACUCCUGACUGACCGAUAGUGAACCAGUACCGUGAGGGAAAGGCGAAAAGAACCCCGGCGAGGGGAGUGAAAAAGAACCUGAAACCGUGUACGUACAAGCAGUGGGAGCACCUUCGGGUGUGACUGCGUACCUUUUGUAUAAUGGGUCAGCGACUUAUAUUCUGUAGCAAGGUUAACCGUAUAGGGGAGCCGCAGGGAAACCGAGUCUUAACUGGGCGUUAAGUUGCAGGGUAUAGACCCGAAACCCGGUGAUCUAGCCAUGGGCAGGUUGAAGGUUGGGUAACACUAACUGGAGGACCGAACCGACUAAUGUUGAAAAAUUAGCGGAUGACUUGUGGCUGGGGGUGAAAGGCCAAUCAAACCGGGAGAUAGCUGGUUCUCCCCGAAAGCUAUUUAGGUAGCGCCUCGUGAAUUCAUCUUCGGGGGUAGAGCACUGUUUCGGCUAGGGGGUCAUCCCGACUUACCAACCCGAUGCAAACUACGAAUACCGAAGAAUGUUAUCACGGGAGACACACGGCGGGUGCUAACGUCCGUCGUGAAGAGGGAAACAACCCAGACCGCCAGCUAAGGUCCCAAAGUCAUGGUUAAGUGGGAAACGAUGUGGGAAGGCACAGACAGCCAGGAUGUUGGCUUAGAAGCAGCCAUCAUUUAAAGAAAGCGUAAUAGCUCACUGGUCGAGUCGGCCUGCGCGGAAGAUGUAACGGGGCUAAACCAUGCACCGAAGCUGCGGCAGCGACACUAUGUGUUGUUGGGUAGGGGAGCGUUCUGUAAGCCUGCGAAGGUGGCCUGUGAGGGCUGCUGGAGGUAUCAGAAGUGCGAAUGCUGACAUAAGUAACGAUAAAGCGGGUGAAAAGCCCGCUCGCCGGAAGACCAAGGGUUCCUGUCCAACGUUAAUCGGGGCAGGGUGAGUCGACCCCUAAGGCGAGGCCGAAAGGCGUAGUCGAUGGGAAACAGGUUAAUAUUCCUGUACUUGGUGUUACUGCGAAGGGGGGACGGAGAAGGCUAUGUUAGCCGGGCGACGGUUGUCCCGGUUUAAGCAUGUAGGCGGAGGUUCCAGGUAAAUCCGGUACCUUUUAACGCUGAGGUGUGAUGACGAGGCACUACGGUGCUGAAGUAACAAAUGCCCUGCUUCCAGGAAAAGCCUCUAAGCAUCAGGUAACAUUAAAUCGUACCCCAAACCGACACAGGUGGUCAGGUAGAGAAUACCAAGGCGCUUGAGAGAACUCGGGUGAAGGAACUAGGCAAAAUGGUGCCGUAACUUCGGGAGAAGGCACGCUGGUGUGUAGGUGAAGUCCCUGCGGAUGGAGCUGAGACCAGUCGAAGAUACCAGCUGGCUGCAACUGUUUAUUAAAAACACAGCACUGUGCAAACACGAAAGUGGACGUAUACGGUGUGACGCCUGCCCGGUGCCGGAAGGUUAAUUGAUGGGGUUAUCCGUAAGGAGAAGCUCUUGAUCGAAGCCCCGGUAAACGGCGGCCGUAACUAUAACGGUCCUAAGGUAGCGAAAUUCCUUGUCGGGUAAGUUCCGACCUGCACGAAUGGCGUAAUGAUGGCCAGGCUGUCUCCACCCGAGACUCAGUGAAAUUGAACUCGCUGUGAAGAUGCAGUGUACCCGCGGCAAGACGGAAAGACCCCGUGAACCUUUACUAUAGCUUGACACUGAACAUUGAGCCUUGAUGUGUAGGAUAGGUGGGAGGCUUUGAAGCGUGGACGCCAGUCUGCGUGGAGCCAACCUUGAAAUACCACCCUUUAAUGUUUGAUGUUCUAACGUUGGCCCCUUAUCGGGGUUGCGGACAGUGUCUGGUGGGUAGUUUGACUGGGGCGGUCUCCUCCCAAAGAGUAACGGAGGAGCACGAAGGUUAGCUAAUCCUGGUCGGACAUCAGGAGGUUAGUGCAAUGGCAUAAGCUAGCUUGACUGCGAGCGUGACGGCGCGAGCAGGUGCGAAAGCAGGUCAUAGUGAUCCGGUGGUUCUGAAUGGAAGGGCCAUCGCUCAACGGAUAAAAGGUACUCCGGGGAUAACAGGCUGAUACCGCCCAAGAGUUCAUAUCGACGGCGGUGUUUGGCACCUCGAUGUCGGCUCAUCACAUCCUGGGGCUGAAGUAGGUCCCAAGGGUAUGGCUGUUCGCCAUUUAAAGUGGUACGCGAGCUGGGUUUAGAACGUCGUGAGACAGUUCGGUCCCUAUCUGCCGUGGGCGCUGGAGAAUUGAGGGGGGCUGCUCCUAGUACGAGAGGACCGGAGUGGACGCAUCACUGGUGUUCGGGUUGUCAUGCCAAUGGCACUGCCCGGUAGCUAAAUGCGGAAGAGAUAAGUGCUGAAAGCAUCUAAGCACGAAACUUGCCCCGAGAUGAGUUCUCCCUGAGACUAUAAGUCUCCUGAAGGAACGUUGAAGACGACGACGUUGAUAGGCCGGGUGUGUAAGCGCAGCGAUGCGUUGAGCUAACCGGUACUAAUGAACCGUGAGGCUUAACCUUACAACGCCGAAGCUGUU